rnacentral:rRNA from 1 species
CCUACGGGAGGCAGCAGUGAGGAAUAUUGGUCAAUGGACGAGAGUCUGAACCAGCCAAGUAGCGUGAAGGAUGACUGCCCUAUGGGUUGUAAACUUCUUUUAUAUGGGAAUAAAACGUUCCACGUGUGGGAUUUUGUAUGUACCAUAUGAAUAAGGAUCGGCUAACUCCGUGCCAGCAGCCGCGGUAAUACGGAGGAGCCGAGCGUUAUCCGGAUUUAUUGGGUUUAAAGGGAGCGUAGGUGGAUUGUUAAGUCAGUUGUGAAAGUUUGCGGCUCAAACGUAAAAUUGCAGUUGAAACUGGCAGUCUUGAGUACAGUAGAGGUGGGCGGAAUUCGUGGUGUAGCGGUGAAAUGCUUAGAUAUCACGAAGAACUCCGAUUGCGAAGGCAGUUCACUGAACUGCAACUGACACUGAGGCUCGAAAGUGUGGGUAUCAAACAGGAUUAGAUACCCCAGUAGUC